rnacentral:rRNA from 1 species
UACGGAGGGUGCAAGCGUUGCUCGGAAUUAUUGGGCGUAAAGGGCAGGUAGGUGGUCUCAUUUGUCUGGGGUGAAAUCCUUGGGCUUAACUCAAGAAGUGCCCCAGAAACGGUGAGACUAGAGUACUGGAGAGGGUCGUGGAAUUCCCGGUGUAGCGGUGAAAUGCGUAGAGAUCGGGAGGAACACCAGAGGCGAAGGCGGCGACCUGGACAGUUACUGACACUCAACUGCGAAAGCGUGGGGAGCGAACCGG